rnacentral:rRNA from 1 species
GACAGAGGGUGCAAACGUUGUUCGGAAUUACUGGGCGUAAAGCGCGUGUAGGCAGUUUCGCAAGUCGGGUGUGAAAGCCCUGGGCUCAACCUAGGAAGUGCACUCGAAACUGCGAGACUUGAGUCCUGGAGAGGAAGGCGGAAUUCUCGGUGUAGAGGUGAAAUUCGUAGAUAUCGAGAGGAAAACCGGUGGCGAAGGCGGCCUUCUGGACAGUGACUGACGGUGAGACGCGAAAGCGUGGGGAGCAAACAGG